rnacentral:rRNA from 1 species
GAUGAACGCUGGCGGCGUGCCUAAUACAUGCAAGUCGAGCGAACGGACGAGAAGCUUGCUUUUCUGAUGUUAGCGGCGGACGGGUGAGUAACACGUGGAUAACCUACCUAUAAGACUGGGAUAACUUCGGGAAACCGGAUCUAAUACCGGAUAAUAUUUUGAACCGCAUGGUUCAAAAGUGAAAGACGGUCUUGCUGUCACUUAUAGAUGGAUCCGCGCUGCAUUAGCUAGUUGGUAAGGUAACGGCUUACCAAGGCAACGAUGCAUAGCCGACCUGAGAGGGUGAUCGGCCACACUGGAACUGAGACACGGUCCAGACUCCUACGGGAGGCAGCAGUAGGGAAUCUUCCGCAAUGGGCGAAAGCCUGACGGAGCAACGCCGCGUGAGUGAUGAAGGUCUUCGGAUCGUAAAACUCUGUUAUUAGGGAGGAACAGAUGUGUAAGUAACUGUGCACAUCUUGACGGUACCUAAACAGAAAGCCACGGCUAACUACGUG